CUGGUCGUUCGCAUAUGUCACUGAUAGCUAAGCUAUUCGGCUAGCUCUCGAAUCGAUAGACCACCGAUUUCUUUCUCAGUCGAUGGGGUUCCCUUCUUCUUGGUCACGGAGGAGCUUUUAGGCCCUUUUACAGCUAUUCCAUAUGGGGAUGAAUCUAGGACAAAUAUUCUUUUAGAUGUGGCAUUAGCAGUCUUUGCUAUUGGAGUUCUUUGCCCAUCUAUGGAAUCUUACUCUAGAAAAUCCUUCUCACGAACUAGACAAAGAAGAGAGAAUCGUCCGCUUUCAAGGUAACUAGUUAGUGGCGGCUGAUUACCAGUGUGACAUGGACAUACUUUUAUCUUUUAAUGUCUAUUUAGUUGUGGAUUAUUGAUUUUAAUUCAAUGAUAAUGAACUAAUUCUUUCAUUAAGAUUUCAAUUAAACCUUUUAUGUCUAUAAAUUAGUUAUUCAAUUUAUUCCAAUUAUUUGUGUCAAAGUGAAUUGUUUAUCUUGUCUUAUGCUUAUUGAUUAAUUAUUUGAUCAGUAAUUACCUUGUUACUAUAAAAGGAAUUGAAAGAGGAGAUCUAGGGUUAGAACUGGGCAUGAUAACACGUGACUUAUUUAUUUGCAUGACAAAUAAUUAGGUUCGUGAAUUGAAUGGAAAUAUUUGUUCAC
rnacentral:lncRNA from 1 species